AGACAAGCACGAAAAGUUUCAUAAUGUAAUAAUUGAAAAAUUAUUAAUAGGCUUUUUUUCUUGAAAUACCUUUUCCGACUUAAAAUAGAUUAGAUACAUAAAUCUUUUGUUUCUUCUAAAACAAUACACCCUCAAACUCCCACUGCCUGAGCAGUGACUAUACGUUUAACUUGACAUUAGAUUCUGUUAUAUCCAUCUUUCUCGAAACCAUCAUUUCCCGAGCUAAAUAUACCCAUACUCACUGAAUUAUUGGCUAAUUCCAUUGUGAUCAUUAAAGAAAAAAUGGUGCCAUUAAAAUAAAUGAAAAUUUAACUUAUCUUAGUUGGUGCAAUGUUACCUACUAGCACUAUUUAUUUAUUUAUUUAAAACCACCUGCUAGCACUAGUUUCCUAGUGAAAAUUAUGUGGCAGGCAACAAUAAAAAGCUAUGAAAUGCUUAUGUGUACAUAUAAUGGUUGUAUUUUAAAAUUUUUCGACAUUACAUAUUGCCAAAAAUUGCUAAUAGCAACAUUUUGCAUUCACUUCACAAUAGGAAAAAAA
rnacentral:misc_RNA from 1 species